ensembl:lincRNA
UUUUUUCCACCCACCUUUGAACUACCUUGAAACAAUAAAGUGUUCUCUUUUGACAGGCUGGCCUAAUGGGAAGGUUGACCUGAUUUCCACUCUCCUACCGAAAAGUGACAAUGCAGCCGCUGGGCCAAGGAGGGACGUUGUGUGACCAGUUCAGAGGCAGGAGUUCACGCGGCUGCAGUGAGGAGGGACGUUGUGUGACCAGUUCAGAGGCAGGAGUUCACGCGGCUGCAGUGAGGAGGGACAUUGUGUGAUGAGUUCAGAGGCAGGAGUUCACGCGUCUGCAGUGACCCUCUGCAAAAGGAAGCAACUGGACAUUUCCUCUACACAUUGUCUCUUUUGAAAAGUUCCAAGCAGAUGCUGACCCACCCACUAAAGCUGAGGCCGAAGGAAAUUCUCCGAUGACAAGGCUCUGCAGGUGCCAUACGGAGCGAGUGCUUUUCAGGCAGCUGGCGGAGCCCAGAGCAAGCUUCCCCCAGAGCAUCCGAAGGGGCCACUUGGCUGCAGUCGCCAUCGCGAGAACAACAGGAAACUGAGCAGGGGCUGCUGUCGUCCUGGGCAGGACAGCUCUCCAUUUCCCUUCAGGCCUGGCAUUGUUUUGCUGAUGGAAGAAAAGUGGAAUGGGGCGUGAUCACACUGCCGGCUCAGCAGCUGGAAAGCUCAUGUGUUUGCUUAAAUGUGCACAAGGAUGAUGAAGUCUUCCACCUGGAGCUCCUGAGAGAACAGUGGGCGUAGUGGAAACACCGUACACCUGGCUGGGUCUUUGCAGGUGGAGACGCUGAGGGCUGUUUCUUUCCAGUCCUGGAAGACGCGGAAUUUCUUCUUGGCAGCUUUGCUCGGCCUGCGUCUGAGCGGUAAGUCCAGCCCUCCCUGCCACAUCUUUGCAGGCUGAUACUUAUUUAUCCUUCACUUCUCAGCUCCAAUCUCACCUUGGCAGUGAGGCCACAGCCAUCUGCCAAAGGGACCCGGGUCGCUCCUUCCCACAUCCUGUUUUAUUCAUUGUCUGAGUGGCGGCGUUCAUUUUCCUGUUUACUUGUGAACUGAUUUCGUUUCGUCUUCCCUCCCUGGCAUGUGCACUGUGCACUACCGCAUCUUCAGCACCUAAAACAAUGCCUGCAACGCGGUGGACACUGAGGAAAUAUUGUUGGCUGGGUGAGCAAAUGCCCUGCGAGCUGGUCUUUUUCCUUAACAAUAGGAGGUGGUCAUUUUCUCAGCAGUGCAUUUGGAUAGGCUUAACUUUGUAAUGAUUGUAUGGUUUUCCAUAGUAAAUACUUAGUGUAGUGUGUUGAACCACUGGUUGCAUUGUCUGGCAUUUCUGAG